rnacentral:rRNA from 1 species
AUCAUACUCAAAAAAAAGAGUUUGAUCCUGGCUCAGAAUGAACGCUAGCGAUAUGCUUAACACAUGCAAGUCGAACGUUGCUUUCGUUGUUACGUGUUGAAGGUCGCAUUCGGAGGAGAAAACCUUUUUUCUUCUCUGAGCUGCUCAACCCUUAGUCAGUUGAGCCUGCGGCCUCCGAUCAACCGUGAGAACCGUUGAAAACAAAGUGGCGAACGGGCGAGUAAUAUGUGGGAAUCUGCCAAACAGUUUGGGCCAAAWSSCKRAKRAGCGAAAGGAGGAAUCCGCCCGAGGAGGGUCUUGCGUCUGAUUAGCUAGUUGGUGAGGUAAUGGCUCACCAAGGCGACGAUCAGUAGCUGGUCUGAGAGGAUGAUCAGCCACACUGGGACUGAGACACGGCCCAGACUCUUACGGGAGGCAGCAGUGGGGAAUUUUCCGCAAUGGGCGAAAGCCUGACGGAGCAAUGCCGCGUGGAGGUAGAAGGCUCACGGGUCGUAAACUCCUUUUCUCRKMGAAGAUGCGAUKAUGACRKYAKMKGARGAAKAAGCMYCGGCUAACUCYGUGCCAGCAGCCGCGGUAAGACGGGGGGGGCAAGUGUUAUUCGGAAUGACUAGGCGUAAAGGGCACGUAGGCGGUGAAUCCAGUUGAAAGUGAAAGUCGCCAGCUCAACUGGCGGAAUGCUUUCAAAACCAAUUUACUAGAGUAAGGCAUAGAGGAAAGCGGAAUUUCGUGUGUAGCGAUAAAAUGCAAAAAUAUACGAAGGAACGCCAAAAGCGAAGGCAGCUUUCUGGUUCUUUAACCGACGCUAAAGUGCGAAAGCAUGGGGAGCAAACAGGAUUAGAUACCCUGGUAGUCCAUGCUGUAAACGAUGAGUGUUCGUUCUUGGUCUACUGAUAUCGCACUCUUUCGGUCCGACUUAAGCUCGGCUUAAUGCUUAAAUUACUGCAAAGGUAGUGUGACUCGAUUGUUUCCUUCAAGUUCCAACAAUCGUGAAAAAUAUGUGAUGAUCAGGGGCUGAGCUAACGCGUUAARCAYUCCGCCUGGGGAGUACGGUCGCAAGGMUGAAACUCAAAGGAAUUGACGGGGGCCCGCACAAGCGGUGGAGCAUGUGGUUUAAUUCGAUGCAACGCGAAGAACCUUACCAGSSCUUGACAURYSRMKAAKYKUGCUUGUCCUUAACGGGAUGGUACGGAAAUUCAUACAGGUGUUGCAUGGCUGUCGUCAGCUCGUGUCUUGAGACGUUGGGUUAAGUCCUAUAACGAGCGCAACCCUCGUUUUGUGUUGCUAAGACAUGCUCUGGUUCAAUCCUUGACCACUGGAGACUGACGAAGACUACGCCGUGAAAAUGGAGGAUACCAAUGAGCUGAGUUUUUGCAAACGCCGUGUGGCUCAUUCCGAAAAAAAUAUGACCAUACAAAGUUUUAAUACGGUACUCUCCGACGAACGAAGCUCUCGGAGCAUUGUACACUUCACACUGAGGAACUCAGUCUUAGUCAAAAUGAUUGAAACUCCAAGCCAUGUGCUGCACUCACAAAAAACUGCCAGUGAUAUACUGGAGGAAGGUGGGGAUGACGUCAAGUCCGCAUGGCCCUUAUGGGCUGGGCUACACACGUGCUACAAUGGCAAUUACAAUUGGAAGCAAUGCUGUAAGGCGGAGCGAAUCCAGAAAGAUUGCCUAAGUUCGGAUUGUUCUCUGCAACUCGAGAACAUGAAGUUGGAAUCGCUAGUAAUCGCGGAUCAGCAUGCCGCGGUGAAUAAGUACUCGGGCCCUGUACAAACUGCCCGUCAAACCAUGGGAAUUGGUUUCGCCCGAAGCAGCCGACCAAAGAUCACCCAUUACUCGGGGUGUUCCACGCCGUUGUUGAGUGCGGUCUACCAGAGGCAUUGGUGAUCUCAUGUAGGAGACCAAGGUUGGGCCAUUGACUGAGGUUAAGUCGUAACAAGGUAGCCGCAGGGGAACCUGUGGCUGGAUUGACUCC